rnacentral:rRNA from 1 species
GAACGAACGCUGGCGGCAUGCCUAACCCAUGCAAGUCGACCGAGACCUUCGGGUCUAGUGGCGCACGGGUGCGUAACGCGUGGGAACCUGCCCUUAGGUUCGGAAUAACUCCCCGAAAGGGGUGCUAAUACCGGAUAAUGUCUUCGGACCAAAGAUUUAUCGCCUUUGGAUGGGCCCGCGUUGGAUUAGCUAGUUGGUAGGGUAAAAGCCUACCAAGGCGACGAUCCAUAGCUGGUCUGAGAGGAUGAUCAGCCACACUGGGACUGAGACACGGCCCAGACUCCUACGGGAGGCAGCAGUGGGGAAUAUUGGACAAUGGGCGAAAGCCUGAUCCAGCAAUGCCGCGUGAGUGAUGAAGGCCUUAGGGUUGUAAAGCUCUUUUACCCGGGAUGAUAAUGACAGUACCGGGAGAAUAAGCUCCGGCUAACUCCGUG